rnacentral:rRNA from 1 species
CAGUAGCCACGGUAAUACGUAGGGUGCAAGCGUUAAUCGGAAUUACUGGGCGUAAAGCGUGCGCAGGCGGUUAUAUAAGACAGAUGUGAAAUACCCGGGCUCAAACUGGGAACUGCAUUUGUGACUGUAUAGCUAGAGUAUGGCAGAGGGGGGUAGAAUUCCACGUGUAGCAGUGAAAUGCGUAGAGAUGUGGAGGAAUACCGAUGGCGAAGGCAGCCCCCUGGGCCAAUACUGACGCUCAUGCACGAAAGCGUGGGGAGCAAACAGGAUUAGAUACCCCCGUAGUCCCUGUCUCUUAUAC